CGUGGGCUCAUAAACUGUGAGAUCAUAACCUGAGCCAAGCUAACUACCCAGGCAUCUCUAGGUAGAACCAUUUUAAAAGGACAGAGCCUUGAGCAAUGUGUUGCUGAAAGCAUCUGGAGGGGACAGAUGAAGAAACCCAGUUAAGGCCUCUAUACAAAUUUUCAGAUUCUGGAAGGCAGGAAACUGCAUUGCAAAAUAUUUGUCUCCUGUCCACAGAGGUGAAUGCAUUCAAGAAAAAGACAAAAGUAAAGAAGAUAUGGGUCUUCCAAGGAUGAUAGUUGAUCAUACUCUCCUGAGAACUGUGGAUGUCAAUUAGGGCUUUGACCAGGUGUGGCCAAGGGGAUGCCUCUGUUCCAGUCUUCACCUCCUGCACAUGACAUUUUUCUCAUCCUUCCAGGAAAGCUGACAAGUCGGCUCAUGCCCACUUUUGUGCAUUUGUGUAAUGUGUUAACUGGCAUGGGUCACCGGAGAAUCGUGGAGUCUGAGAACCAGGGAGGGUAGAGAGCAACUAUUCUGGACACUUGAACAGCAGUCAUCUAACCUAAGGGAGGAGGGACAGGAACGUGAUGGAGAAAGGUGGUCAUGAUCUCAUCAGUCAGUCAUGCUUGGACUUACUGCCAUUUCAUAAGUGUAUGGUCUUGACCCUGUCUGCCACUAAUGGUGAGUCAUUCUUGCAAAAAAAAAAAAAAAAAAAAGGCAUAAGUUUAUACUUAACAACACACAAUACACAAAACUUAUGUGUGGAGUUUCAAGACAGCUAAAUGGCAUUCCAAGAAACAGCAAAUUCUGAAAACAAAAGUUAUUAAAUUAGCAAUUUUGACGUGUGA